rnacentral:rRNA from 1 species
AACGCUGGCGGCUGCCUAAUACAUGCAAGUAGAACGCUGAAGAGAGGAGCUUGCUCUUCUUGGAAGAGUUGCGAACGGGUGAGUAACGCGUAGGUAACCUGCCUUGUAGCGGGGGAUAACUAUUGGAAACGAUAGCUAAUACCGCAUAACAAUGGGUGACCCAUGUCAUUCAUUUGAAAGGGGCAACUGCUCCACUACAAGAUGGACCUGCGUUGUAUUAGCUAGUAGGUGAGGUAACGGCUCACCUAGGCGACGAUACAUAGCCGACCUGAGAGGGUGAUCGGCCACACUGGGACUGAGACACGGCCCAGACUCCUACGGGAGGCAGCAGUAGGGAAUCUUCGGCAAUGGGGGCAACCCUGACCGAGCAACGCCGCGUGAGUGAAGAAGGUUUUCGGAUCGUAAAGCUCUGUUGUAAGUCAAGAACGAGUGUGAGAGUGGAAAGUUCACACUGUGACGGUAGCUUACCAGAAAGGGACGGCUAACUACAUGCCAGCAGCCGCGGUAAUACGUAGGUCCCGAGCGUUGUCCGGAUUUAUUGGGCGUAAAGCGAGCGCAGGCGGUUUGAUAAGUCUGAAGUUAAAGGCUGUGGCUCAACCAUAGUUCGCUUUGGAAACUGUCAAACUUGAGUGCAGAAGGGGAGAGUGGAAUUCCAUGUGUAGCGGUGAAAUGCGUAGAUAUAUGGAGGAACACCGGUGGCGAAAGCGGCUCUCUGGUCUGUAACUGACGCUGCGGCUCGAAAGCGUGGGGAGCGAACAGGAUUAGAUACCCUGGUAGUCCACGCCGUAAACGAUGAGUGCUAGGUGUUGGGUCCUUUCCGGGAUUCAGUGCCGCAGCUAACGCAUUAAGCACUC